CGGAUCACCUCUCGGACUACUUGUCCCAGGCACGGAUUCUCUGCAGAGGGCAUAGAAGUCAGGGCAUUGGUGGUCUAGGUGGCCAGCAGGACCAUGAGCAGUUCCCAGUGGGAGAAUGUCUGCAGCAAGGCACUUGAGGAAGGGAGCCAUGACCCUUGACCCUUGACAAGCAAGUCACAGUUUCCGUGUCUGCAAAGUGGUAACACAUUUACCUGUCCUUCCAGCAACUCCCAGGCUGUUACGGGCACCAGAGGCGAUUGUGAAGGAGAAAGGGCUUUAUGCAUUUUAAAGCUUCAGGUAUAAAAUGUGGAAAAGUCCUCAAGGCACGGGGUGGACUGCCUGGGAUCCUGGUGGCAGGGAGCAAGACUUCUCAGUGUCCAUGCAGGAGAAAGAUCCCCCAAGGUCAUACAAGACAAGUGGCUUACUCUCUUCUGGACCAUUCACUCUGGGACAUGCCAGCUGCCCUGGCGCAAGGACCCUCAAAGAGCCUGUGUAGUGACUCAUGCAGGGCAGAACUGGGACCUCCCGCCAACACCCAGCGCCAUGGGAGUGCAGCACAUUGGAAGCAUAUCCUGCUGCCUUGGGUUAGCCUACAGAGAACUGCAGCCAUGGCUGUGUAGAAUGCAACCCUGAGAGAUCCCAGCUACGCUCUUUCUGAAUUCCCAACCCACAGGAACAAUGUAGGCUAAAAAAAAUGUUUUUUGUGGUUUUGAACUGCUAUGGUUUGG
rnacentral:lncRNA from 10 species